rnacentral:lncRNA from 1 species
AUGCCCAGGAAAUCCCGGGUGCAGAAGGCUGCCUGGGGGACAGCCCUUCUCUUCCGGGCACCAGCCGGACUCCGACAGAUGAGGACCCCAGACGCCUGCUGCCUGGAUCGGACAGCGUGCAGCCAAACCCCCCUCCCCUGCUCCCCAACGCCCGCAGGCCCACCACCGAGCGUGUUGAUACUUGGGGCUGAAGACUCCCCCCGUGGGAAAACCGGAAGCCCUGGGAAGGCACACAGUGUAAUCAAAAGUGAGGCAUUUGAACCCCACAGUGAAGGAGUAUCCAGUCUUUUCCAGAGAGCAAGGAGAGAAGAGAGAAAUCCUAUGCUCCGGGCACCUGGGGCGGCCAACCCCCCUCCCCUCCCCUCCCUUGCCUACUGGCAGUGCUCUCACCCCCGGACUCUCGCAUUUCCAGGUGUCUGCCCGGGCCAGGCCGGGUGCUGGGUGCAGCUAGCCAGAUCUGCGAGAUGCUCUUGUCCCCUCCGGGAAGGCGGGAACGAAAGCACAGCACCAGUGGGGGGCGUGAGGGGCGUUUGGGGCAGGCGCCUCGCGGUCCUGCGGGAGCCGGAGCAUUCCCUCUACUGGGGAGUCCGCCAGGUUCUCUCAACAGGGAGAUGGGCCUGGCGCUCGGAGGGUUGGGGGCGUGCUCCCGGCAGGGGGAGCGGGAAAGUUCUGCAAGUGAAAGAACGCAAAGCCAAGAUUGAGGACAAAAUCUAACAGUGAUUCGGAAUGAGGAGAGAAACCACAACAAAUCCAGUACUUCAGAGCCCGGAGACAUUACCAAGUUCAGGAAAGUCAGAAAAAGAACAUCAUAUUUUGAUUAACAGAAUGCCUGGCUUCUACCUGAAAUACUCGCCUCCUGUAUUUUUUGUACGCAUAACCUUUGACGGCCUCUGCAUGUGACAAUGAGCUGGUGGGCGGUGCGAUUGGCCUUUUUUUGGGGGGGGGGUAGAGAGAAUCGGCCUUUCCUCCAGCCGGAUGGAUCAGAAAAAAGUGUUGUCGUGAUAAUGUCACCACCUAUUAUUGGUGAAGUUAAGUACAUUUUUAGGAUGGUUACUGAUUUGAAAACCACUGUCAAGGACCUUUCACAUGUGAACUGUAAGAUUUCAAGGCACUUCAAAGGGGUUGUUUUUUUGGGGGGGGGUGGGGGAGAGGGCUGCAAGGACUUGUCUUAAAUGCUCCUUAAACUGAUGGUGCCCUGUCUCAAAAAUAAAUAAAUGUUAAAAAAAAAAAAAUUAAAAAAA